AGGAGGAUAGUUCAAUUGGUAGAGCAGUGGUCUUCAAAAUCAUCGGUUAUGGGUUCAAGUCCCGUUCCUCUUG